GCCCAGUGAUGAGACCAAGGCGAAUACGAGCUUACUGAAUGGGAGUUGGGUUCUUCUUGACUUUGACUGACAGGUAAUCUUGGUAGUGCAGAGGAGAAUUCCUGCUCUGCUGUAAGGGCCUGUCUACAGUAACUUGGCUCAACCCAAAUUAUUCUUCUACAGUCACAGUAGAGUAAUCAUUGUGGUGAUGCUGACAUUGUGUGGUUGUGUGUAUGUGUUGUGUGUAUGCAUGGAAAAGCCAAGAAGUUCACCCAGCUCCCUUUGCUGUUCAGCCAGCUAUGAGUUGCGUCUUUGGUAAUCUGAGGGCA
rnacentral:snoRNA from 1 species